AUGUAGAAAACAACACUAAAAGUAACAGCAAAACUUAACAUCCACAUUCAAAAUUUGAAACUUACCUUCUUCUAAUAAGCAUUAAAGCAGAAAUUUAAAAAGGCAUGAUUGGAAAGCGGGGGAGGUGUACAAAAUUGAACAAUUAUACUGUUGACUGUUGGAGGCUUUUGAUUUUUUUAAGCAAAGUGGAAAUAGUUGAUUGAGACCCUAGAGAAGAAUCAUGUGACCUGAGUGAAAAGAAACCCACAAGCCAUUGGUCUUAGAGUUGAGGUCAAAUAAAUCACGCAAAAUGCUGCCUGUAUAUCAUGAAAGGACUUUCUGUUUUUCCCCAGAGCAGACUAGACCUAUCUUAGGUACAUGCUUACCUUAUUCCUGUUGUUUGGUGUCUGUGUGGACAGAAUGAUUGAAACAGCUGUAGACUUGCCUGACACUACGUCAUCAUCAGCUAUUGGAAACAGUGCUUUAAACAAAGACAUCAUGGGCCCCCUGAAGGGAAGAGGAAGCCACAAACAGCAUCAGAACGUGAAGAAAAUUUACAGAGUCAUGAGUCUGUUUCUUUGAAGAAGAUACAAGAGGAUCCAUCCAGCUGGUUGUGAUUCUCAGGUAAGAAAUUUACUUAAGUAAUCCAUGUGUGCUCUUCACCUGUGAGUCUAUAGGUUGCAGUUAUAAUUAGGUACAUAGAUGACCUUGUAAGGUUGUUUUAGUCAUAGAUUCUUUACAUAAACAUAAGUGUGACAGUGGAUUUUUAUUCAUCAUAAAGUAAUGUUCUUCUCAUGGCCACACCUUUAAGGAACAUAAUAUAGCACAGCUUUAAAAUGAAAUGGUUACCAGAUGACAUCUUUAAGUGACUCACUGUUUUUUGAAGAUCUUGGAGAUAAAAGUUAAGGUGAUAUAACUUUCAAGUAAGGGCAAUUUCUUAAUUAUAAAAUGCUUAAGAAAAUAUUUUAUUGUAUUGGAAGUCUCAAAUUUUAUCUUCUCACAUAUUUUUGUAGGUUGUAUUAUGAAUGCUGUUAACUUAGUCUCUAAUGUUUUACACAAACUCUUAGGAGGAAAGGAGCUAUGUGAGUGGGAAGGAUUUGCCAUGAGUCAUUUGUGGUAAUGGUAAUGGCAUAGUUGUGCUAGCUGAUAUAAUUACACUGAUGAUGGGAGGUAGAAUUUUCUUGUGUGUCCCAUAUUCCAUUCCUUAAUGCAGAAUUUCUCAAGUUCUCACUCUUUGAUUGUGCCUGUUUUUGGUCAAAACCUGAGGAGGUGUAGGCUGAGUUAGAUCAAUUAACAACAUCAUAUCUGUAAAAUGCAGGUGAUGCAAUUAUAAGGAUCAUUUAUGGGCACUUAUUACAUAUAUUGGCCUUCCCCCAGAAUACUAAACCAAAUUUCUAGUGAUUGGACUCAAGAGUACAUAUUUUUUAAUGACGUAUUCUUAUAAUCGUGAAUUCAGGAACUUUUAUCUUAACUGGAUAGUGUAGGAAAAACAUCUAGGUUCUUUUAAUUACAGCUAGCACUUUUAUCAUAUUGUAAGUUUUCAAAGCACAUCUCAUCUCAAUUUGUUUUGUAAAGUAGGCAGGGAGAGCCUUUUUACCUUCAUUUUACAGAUGUGAUGUUGUUAACUGACCAAAUUUAGCCAACAACUCUUCAGGUUUUAGUAGAAAACAGGAGCAAUCAAAUAGUGAGUGGGUGAGGAUUAGCCACUCCCCAUAACUGCAAGGCCAUGUUGCCAUGACAGCAUAUUUCAGAUAAUGGUCUGUCUGUGGUACAUAUGGACAUUUAAAGGAGCAGGCACCAAAUGAGUCUGUGAGUCUGAUGAAGUCCAAAUGAGCUAUCAUUGGAGGGUCUUUAGCAACACAGAAGACAUAUUCACCUGAGGCAUGCAUAGUGACAUUCAGAGGUUGGCUCUUGUGCUGUCCUAAACUAUUGGCUUGACACUGACUGAUUAGUAACCAAAGUCAGUGCUUUCCCUAAGGAACUCAGGGUACAGGUCUCAGUGGUUUCUUACAAGGGCAGAUGUGGAAAGUGUUUCUAAAUAUGUGUUAUUCCAAAUGUCUUGAAUACUAUUAAUUUCAGAGAGGGAGCCCAGUUCUAACAUUCUUCAUGCUAAUUAUCAAGUCACUAGAAUUUGUUACUUAAAGACUGGUCUCUGAAUCAGCACCAUUGACAUCACCUGGGAGCUUGUUAGAAAUGCUGGUUCUCCAACCCAAAUGCCUAUCAAUGAUAGACUGGACAAGGAAAUGUGGCACAUAUACACCAUGGAAUAUUAUGCAGCCAUAAAAAACGAUGAGUUUGUGUCCUUUGUAGGGACAUGGAUGAAUCUGAAAACCAUCAUUCUCAAAAAACUGACACAAGAACAGAUAAUCAAACACUGCAUGUUCUCACUCAAAGGCAGGUAUUGAUCAAUGAGAACACAUGGACACAGGGAGGGGAGCAUCACACACUGGGGUCUGUUGGUGGGGAAUAGGGGAGGGACAGCAGUGGGUAGGGAGGUUGAGGAGAGAUAGCAUGGGGAGAAAUGCCAGAUAUAGGUGAUGAGGGGAUGGAGGCAGCAAACCACAUUGCCAUGUAUGUACUUAUGCAACAAUCUUGCAUGUUCUGCACAUGUACUCCAGAAUCUAAAGUGCAAUAAAAUAUGCAUAUAUAUGUAUAUUUAUAUAUGUAAAUUUAUUUAUAUAUAUAUAUAUAUAUAAAGAAAUGCUAGUUCUCAGCUCUGCUCAAGACGUACAGAACCAGUAUCUUCAUUUUAACAAGAUUUUCUGUGAUUCAGAAGCAUGAUAAAGUUUGAAGAACACUCUUCUAUAAGUUAUUUACCACUGUCAUACACGUUCUAUAAGUGCCCCUUGUUUAUGCUUUCUAAUAUACCAUAAAGCGGUGAUCUGCCUCAGCUU
rnacentral:lncRNA from 1 species